UCCUUGAUAUUUGUGCUUCGUUGCUAAUUUAAACAGUUCAUACAUUUCAUAAAUACAACGUUAUCAUAUUUGUUUACAUAAAGACCCCAAAACGUGUUUUGUAUGUUAGUUUUAGUAUUUACUUGUAGAAUUUUCCUGAUGAUCAUGGAGGACAUAAGAAGAAAUGAGGAUUAAAAUUGUGUUUUUUAACAUUUAAUGAUUGAAAUAGUUGUGAAUCAAGAGCAAAUGAAAACAUGUUAGUAAAAAUGUUGUAGUUGUGUAAAAUCUACAAGUUCUACAGACACAUUUCUGUACUGUCACAGUAAAUGUUAAAGUUGUUGAUGGUUUCAUAUUUGCUGAGGCAGGAGAAAUAACAUUACCUUUAGUUUGUAAUUACCAUUUAAUCUAAAUUUUAAAUUAUUUUCUCUAUGAUAAAUAUGAUAAACACAUGAAAUUCUCUGUUUUUAGAUGGAAUAUGUCCUGGACAAAAACCGUCCUCCAGGAGAGCUCAUAGUGAAGGAGGAUGAUAUCUGCUCAACCUGUGAAGACUUUAGGAUCCUGAAUAUGACACAAUGGAUGGAAUCCUCCAUUGGAAUGUUUGUCUAAUAGCUGUGAGGAAAGCUGCACAGACAUGAGAAAAUGUCUACAUUGAUGACCUUUAUGUUAUGACCACCUGGAAGGAUCUCCAAGUUGACCUACUGCGCUCCUUGCUGGUACUAUUUUUUUAUCUUUUUUUUGUUUGUUUUUUCUCCUGUGUGUGCAUGUGUGUAUGUGUACAUGUAUGUGUGUGUGUCCAUGUGCAUGUUUACUAAUUAGUAUCAAUGUAGGAAACCUUCAGGUCAGAGGUCAUGCUGAUGUUUCCACUUAGAGCAGACAGACAGGUCCAGCUGAUCUCUACCUGCUUUGUGUGAGUGUCCUCGGUCUUUCUCACUCUGUGUUUUUAAUAGGAUAGAGAAGAAAAGGAGAGGUUGAUGUGUCGUGUUUUGUGGAUGAUGAUGAUAACGUCUCUAUUCAGACAAUAUUUAUAGCUGAGAAACAGAAGCUCUUUCUGGACUCACUUCACCCUGAUGGUUUUGGUGAUGAUCUCUACAGAACAAUAUUUAGGUUGAUGCUACAGAAAUGAAAAGUUGCUCUGACCUUGUUCAAGGACAAGUGUGUUCUUUGGAUAGACUGUCUAACAGCAGCCUGUUAGGUUCUCAGGCUGAAAGGUUCAACAUGGAGCCUCAGAUUUAAAGGUUCAGCAUGGAGCCACAUCUCAGAAUACUUUAUUUAUUGAUCUAUUUUGACUGGUAAACAUUUGAUUUGUGUGUUAUUUGUAUUCUCUGCAGUACCAGGAGAAUCUUUGACCCUGUCUGGAGAACUGGAGGAGACCUUCAGUUCUUUUCUCAGCAGAUGUCAGACAGCUGCUGCAGCAUUUCAUGCUGAUGUCCCCCCGGUCCUCCAAAGCUGUAAAGCUUUGGAGAGUCUCUGGUGUUCCAGCAGGAGUAGGUGCUCACCUCAUCAUCUCAGCCGACAGAUCAUUGUCUACCUUUAGAAUCCUUCAACCACGAGAACCAACAACCAACCAUCUCUGGACCUCUCUGCUCAGCUGCCUCACAGCCACAGACUCGGUUCUACCUGCUCACCGUGUCCUCUAGAAGGACAAAGGAACGCCGCUCACCUCCCCAUGUUUCCAGCACUUGGGUCCUUCUGGCCUCGUGAAACCAUGACAACGACUUCAACAUAGACAGAGAUUCAGUUUCUGGACAGAAGAGGCAUUGCUGCUUCUGCAGGAACUCUGCAGCUGAUCUUCAGGUUCCAGAGACGACCACCUCCACACCUGAAGUCCAGUCAGACAGGAAGUGUCGACAACAGGAAGAGAGGAGCAGUGAAGACAUGUGAUUCAGAGGAGAAACCAUUAAAGACAAACUACAGAGCCUUCUAUUAAUCACAAACUAAAACAAUGGAGAGAAAAAAGUUUCACCAAUUGUUCAAAUCAUUAUUUAUAAAUAUGUUUCAGUCUUUGAAAGGCAUGAAAUUCUCAGUUAUUAGAUUAAUUAUAUGUUUUAAUUCCACAGAGAAAAUGGUCAAAUGUUUGUCAUUUGUAUAUUCACAUUUAUCAAGACAAUAUUUGGCCAAAAUAAAAAAUAAGGUAAGAGGAUUUGGUUGGUCUUCAAAGUCUCAGAACAGUUUGUUUCAAACAGGGAGAACAUUUCUAAAACAAAUAGGUUUAAGUUUCAAUAGGAUUGAUGCAAAAGGAACAGCUGGAGUCAAAAUACUUAAGAAAAAUAAGAUGUUAACUACAGUAAGAAGGAAAGUAAAGACAUAAAAAAGGAAGGAGACAAUAACCAAAUAGAGAUUUGUUGAAAGGUUAUAAGGGACGUUUCUGAGGAUUUCAUGGUUUUUAAUGAGACAUCAUAUAUUUUGAAUCUGUUUAUAAAACAGGAAGUUUACAAUCUUUCCAUUAACAAUGAAUACUACAUUUCUUAAUUAGUAAAAUAAUAUUAAUAUUUGUGAAUUAAUUAUCUGUAAAUAUUAAUACGUCUGAGGCACAAAAAGGGUGAAUGUAAAGUUAAAGAUUAUUCCAAUUUCUGAGGUUUCUCCAAAAAAUCUUGGAAUAUGAAGAUGGGAACAUAAACGUUCCAGUUUCAUCAUCUAAAUUACAAAAAAUGUUCAGAGUUCAACACAAUCUGCUUUUAAGAAAUUCAGCAAAAGGACAGAUUUUAUUCAUUAGUUUGAAAUGGGAUCCUUAGAUUUUUGGUGAAAUAGGUUAUUUAAUAAACUUUAAAUGGCUCUAAAUAUAGUAGAAUGUCCAUAGAUUGACUUUAUAGGGACAACUGUCACAUCCAGAUCUGCAACUUUGUUUUUUUAUUUAAUUACACUACAGAACAAGACUUGACAGAGUUUUUGAACAACCAGAGGAGGAAUUAAAUUACAAACAAAACUAAUAAAAUGAAUACAGAUCUGAGCAGAGUGAGGCAAAGAACAAAAACAUGUUUUCACAUGACCACAAAAGGGAAGUUUUAGUUUACAUUGUUCUUAUUUUUGGUUCCUUGAGGAGUUUCAGCAAUUAUAAAUAUAGUUAGAAUUUGUUGGUAAAUAUUCUACAUUUUGGGUCUUUCUACAUUUAUAUUUGCGACAAAGGAUUACAUUUACAGGAGGACAUUUCUUCUCAUUUAUUUUCUAAUAUGAUGUCAAAUAUGAUGGAGUUUGAUGGAAAUAUUGUGGGAAAAUCUCUCCCUGCCAAUUACAGUAUGUGGUUCAUCCCAAAAUAUUUGUAUUUGGGGACAAAAAU